GCACCCCGAGCAGCCGCCAAGCCACAGGGUGUUAUGGUCUGCAGGGAAACCCCACCAGUUCUGGCAGGUAAACUGAGGCACAGAGCCACCAGGCGUUGGGAAUUCAACCAGAGCCAGAGAGAUGAGCAGGACAGAGCAGUCAGCUGCACCCAGGACUUUGCCCCCAACCUGACCCCAUCCUGAGGUGGGAGGAUAUUUCCCUUUGCAUGGCACAUCUUCAUCCUGCUGUGCCGGCUCAGGGAGAAAAUAAAAGGAGCAAGACUGGUUCCCUUCCUCCACCCAGCACUUAUGCCAUCUGAUAAACAAAAUGGAAAUAAAUCCUCCUGCAUUUGCAGCAAA